CUCCUCCCUCUCACACAUACGGUACGGCUAUGUAGAUAAUACGGUUUAUAUAUUUAUCACCUUUCUUCUAUUUAUCCAUGUAUAUCUUUGUAUUUUCCCUUUCUUUAUGUGCGAAUUAUUUAUGGGUUUUCCUUCUACAGAAAUAAUGAUUUGUGUGCAUUAUAUCGGCAAACGACAAUAUUACUUCGUCUUGUGCUGUCUUCACUGUUGUUUGGUGGGUUUGGAUUGUAUGAUAAUCUUCCCGUUAAUUCGUACCGAAAUUAAACACGCAAGCACACGCACACACGGUAUAUAUUGCGACUGAAUCGGGUAUUUCCGUUUGCCGCGCUAUUCAAAAUUUAAAAUUUCCUCUCGUCAGCGGCAGUAGACAUAUCUUUGAGGAGGCCUGCAGUCGUGCAUCGCUGAUGAUCGAAGGCAAUGUUUUUGUUCCAUCGAUGUUCUGCAGCAACAGCGACAUCUAUAAUAUUUUCCACUGGUCUUUUCAACAGUCCCGUGCAGUGAAUUUAUCAGAGUGUGACAAAGAACUGCAGUGACAGAAAUGACAUCAGCUCCAGCUGAACGACAAGGGCAAGACGUCCACCUGACUUCCUAUCCUCCAGCCGUGGAAGCGGUCACUGAGUUCAGUUCCGUUUCCCCUGAAACAGUCCUAACAAUUUUCAGGAGGAUGAACUCAGACCGGCGAGGUGCCAGCUAUGCACAACGGCCACACACAAGACCUUCUGGACUUUCAGGGACUGCGGAUGGCACCAGCCGUGACCUUGACACAGUGCACGUGCAACCUCCUGCUGGCGAUCCGUUGGCAGGACCAGGCCUUGACCUGUGCACGGUCAAGGCCUCGGAUUUGCUGAAGGAACUGGAUUCUAUGAGAGGGGCUCCUUCGUCUAAAAGAACUGCUGAACCCAGUCAGCGGGAAAACACGUCGUCCACCAAAGUUUCCGGCGAUGAAAAACGCGAUAUGUCCAGCGCCAAUCACGCGAGAAUUAAUGAAGGGGCGGAGACAGACGUAGCCACGCCCCCGAGUGUCAUUCAAUCGUCGACGUCAGACACGCAGACGAGACGCUCGACAGAAAACAGUGUUUCUUCGCGACCGAGCGAGGAGGCCUCAGUAGACAAGAGGACGAAAAUUAGACACAAAGAGGCUCAAGAUUUGAAAGAAAAACUGCUGACUUUGAGAAGAGAAAACCGGAGGCUGAAGGCCAGACAAACUUGUCGUUGGUGUCACGAGCGACCUGCAGCCUUGACCCUUCUGCCAUGCGGUCACUAUUGUUACUGCGAGAGAUGCGGGUCAUCUUUCCAGACCUGUCCCAUCUGCGGGAAAGACGGUUCUUGCUGAUGUCAAAACAAUCCUACCUUAAAUUAAAGACUAACCCACGUGCAAAAUAAUUUUCAAAUACUAGGUUGAUUUCAUUUGUGCGAAUUUCUUUAAAAUCUGCGAGAAAACCUGUUCAGUUUACAAAAUGCAGACCAAUGAACUUUGCAGUUCUCACCUGGAUUUUGGAACCUUCGUCCCCGCGAUACCACAAGCGAGAUCACCGAUUGGACAUCGUCUCAUGAGCACACGUUAUUAGCUGUCAUCUUUAGGGGUGUCAGAAAUUAGAAUGUGAUUUUCUUAGCAAAAAUAGCAAAAACCCAGUACACAUUUUUGUGAGAAACUGAUGACAGUUCUAUGUUUUGUGAUUGUUUCCAUAUACCAUUUAUCGGUGGCAGCAAUUUAAGCUUAAUUUCAUGUUUCACGUGACGGCAAGAAAAUCUACACAUACGCAAUUCAAUAAAAGAUGCUUAAUUAGUAUUUACUUCAUUUGUACAGGCUGGAGGCGUUUGUGACACACGACAACUAAAUGCUUUUAGAAAUAUUUAUGUCGGCUCACUCGGCUGUCACUAAUGAGCGAGCAGGAGUCGUCCAUUAUAUCUCCAUUUGUACCCUCCAUUAGCCAUGCGGGGGCACGCAAUUGACAAUUUAUCACCUUUGCUUUUUUCCUUAUUUUUAAAUGAUUUGAAACCGUUUUUACUUUAUCCAAAUGACCUUCUAAUCUAUUUAAAACCUGGAAAAAAAACGCUCAGGUUUUUUUUUUUUUUUUUUUUGGUUACAGUAUUGCACCAUGUAAGGACAUACCCAGUUCACAUUCUUGCCUCCUUUAAUUUGAAGGGGGCUGUCCCACUCCCCUAUUUCUACGCCACUGAGAGUAUCACACUUAACUCAAUUCUGACAGUGCCCUUUAUGACCAAAUAUAUUUUUAAAAAAAACCAACAAAAACCUAUUAUGGUCGUGGAUUUCUAAAAU
rnacentral:lncRNA from 1 species